rnacentral:rRNA from 1 species
GACGAACGCUGGCGGCGUGCCUAAUACAUGCAAGUAGAACGCUGAAGGAGGAGCUUGCUUCUCUGGAUGAGUUGCGAACGGGUGAGUAACGCGUAGGUAACCUGCCUGGUAGCGGGGGAUAACUAUUGGAAACGAUAGCUAAUACCGCAUAAGAGUAGAUGUUGCAUGACAUUUACUUAAAAGGUGCAAUUGCAUCACUACCAGAUGGACCUGCGUUGUAUUAGCUAGUUGGUGAGGUAACGGCUCACCAAGGCAACGAUACAUAGCCGACCUGAGAGGGGGAUCGGCCACACUGGGACUGAGACACGGCCCAGACUCCUACGGGAGGCAGCAGUAGGGAAUCUUCGGCAAUGGACGGAAGUCUGACCGAGCAACGCCGCGUGAGUGAAGAAGGUUGUCGGAUCGUAAAGCUCUGUUGUAAGAGAAGAACGAGUGUGAGAGUGGAAAGUUCACACUGUGACGGUAUCUUACCAGAAAGGGACGGCUAACUACGUG